GCUGUCCUGGACCUACCAGCAGCACAGAUGCAGAUGCUCUGCUCUGCCUGUAACAUCGGGGAAAAGUCAAAGUGGUUAUUUCCACACUCAAUAUUCGGAAAACAGUAAACAACAAGAAUGGAGAAUAGCCUGACAUUU